rnacentral:rRNA from 1 species
UGAAUUUAAGCAUAUAAUUAAGCGGAGGAAAAGAAAACAACAGUGAUCCCCUCAGUAACGGCGAGUGAAGCGGGGUAAGCUCAUAAUGUGAAUCUGCGCUUUGACCCUUUUGGGUCUGCGCUGAAUUGUGGUCUAUGAAACCGUUAUAGGCACUGUAUGAAGGGUAUUGAGACCAUUGGAAGAUGGUAGAAAGGAGGGUGAUACUCCCGUAUAUAUCCUUGUAACAGUGUCAAAAAUAAUGGCUUUUGUGAGUCGAGUUGCUUGGGAUUGCAGCUCUAAGUGGGUGGUAAAUUCCAUCUAAAGCUAAAUAUCGGUGGGAGACCGAUAGCGAACAAGUACCGUGAGGGAAAGAUGCAAAGAACUUUGAAAAGAGAGUUAAAGAGUACCUGAAAUCGCUGAUAGGGAAGCAAAGGAAACCAGUAAUGUGCUCGUUUGUGCUACUUGAACCGCUUGCGGCUUGAGUGUUGUGGACAAGCAUGGGUCAGUAUCGGCUUGCGUCGCUACACAUGUGUUGCCUCGUUCUGUCCCCCUCGUGGGGAGUCUGACGGAGUGGCCUUUGUGGUGGUGCAGGCUGAGGAGAGUUACUUGUUACUCGUGAUACUGGCGAAAUGGUUUUCUUUACCCCGUCUUGAAACACGGGACCAAG